rnacentral:misc_RNA from 1 species
AAUUCUCAACCCUUCUCACUUUUGUGCUGAAGGGAUUGGACUUGGAGGCUUUGCCGGCUUUUGCUUCGGCUCCUCUCAAAUGCAUUAGUACGUCUCGUUGCGAUGUGCGCCUCGGUGUGAUAAUUAUCUACGCUGUGUGUGUGCUUGCUUCUUAUUGGGAUGUGCUUCAAACCGUCCGAGAGGACAACAUUCAUCGAA